rnacentral:rRNA from 1 species
GAUGAACGCUAGCGGCAGGCCUAAUACAUGCAAGUCGAACGGUGAGUGUUGUAGCAAUAUGACACCUAGAGUGACGUACGGGUGCGUAACACGUAUGCAACCUACCCUUUACAGGCGGAUAGCUCGGGGAAACCCGAAUUAACCCGCCGUGGUAUAAUAGAAUGGCAUCAUUUUAUUAUUAAAACUCCGGUGGUAAAGGA